rnacentral:rRNA from 1 species
UACAGAGGUCUCAAGCGUUGUUCGGAUUCAUUGGGCGUAAAGGGUGCGUAGGCGGCGCGGUAAGUCGGGUGUGAAAUCUCGGGGCUUAACUCCGAAACUGCAUUCGAUACUGCUGUGCUUGAGGACUGGAGAGGAGACUGGAAUUUACGGUGUAGCGGUGAAAUGCGUAGAUAUCGUAAGGAAGACCAGUGGCGAAGGCGGGUCUCUGGACAGUUCCUGACGCUGAGGCACGAAGGUCAGGGGGAGCAAAACGGGG